rnacentral:rRNA from 1 species
UGGGGAAUAUUGCACAAUGGGCGCAAGCCUGAUGCAGCCAUGCCGCGUGUAUGAAGAAGGCCUUCGGGUUGUAAAGUACUUUCAGCGAGGAGGAAGGCGUUGUGGUUAAUAACCGCAGCGAUUGACGUUACUCGCAGAAGAAGCACCGGCUAACUCCGUGCCAGACGCCGCGGUAAUACGGAGGGUGCAAGCGUUAAUCGGAAUUACUGGGCGUAAAGCGCACGCAGGCGGUCUGUCAAGUCGGAUGUGAAAUCCCCGGGCUCAACCUGGGAACUGCAUCCGAAACUGGCAGGCUAGAGUCUUGUAGAGGGGGGUAGAAUUACAGGUGUAGCGGUGAAAUGCGUAGAGAUCUGGAGGAAUACCGGUGGCGAAGGCGGCCCCCUGGACAAAGACUGACGCUCAGGUGCGAAAGCGUGGGGAGCAAACA